rnacentral:siRNA from 1 species
UGGUGUGAUGUUAUGGUUAUA